rnacentral:rRNA from 1 species
AAACUUUCAACAAUGGAUCUCUUGGUUCCCGCAUCGAUGAAGAACGCAGCGAAAUGCGAUAACUAAUGUGAAUUGCAGAAUUCCGUGAAUCAUCGAGUCUUUGAACGCACAUUGCGCCCCUCGGUAUUCCGGGGGGCAUGCCUGUCCGAGCGUCAUUGCACCCCUCAAGCACGGCUU